rnacentral:rRNA from 1 species
GACGUAGGGGGCGAGCGUUGUCCGGAAUUACUGGGCGUAAAGCGUGCGCAGGCGGUCGUGCAAGACAGGUGUGAAAUCCCCGGGCUUAACCUGGGAACUGCACUUGUGACUGCACGGCUGGAGUGCGGCAGAGGGGGAUGGAAUUCCGCGUGUAGCAGUGAAAUGCGUAGAUAUGCGGAGGAACACCGAUGGCGAAGGCAAUCCCCUGGGCCUGCACUGACGCUCAUGCACGAAAGCGUGGGGAGCAAACAGG